UUACCAUGCAGUCGAACGAUGAAGCUCCCAGCUUGCUGGGGGUGGAUUAGUGGCGAACGGGUGAGUAUCACGUGAGUAACCUGCCCUUGACUCUGGGAUAAGCCCGGGAAACUGGGUCUAAUACCGGAUAGGACUCCUCAUCGCAUGGUGGGGGGUUGAAAGAUUUUAUCGGUCUUGGAUGGGCUCGCGGCCUAUCAGCUUGACGGUGGGGUAGUGGCCUACCGUGGCUUUGACGGGUAGCCGGCCUGAGAGGGUGACCGGCCACACUGGGACUGAGACACGGCCCAGACUCCUACGGGAGGCAGCAGUGGGGAAUAUUGCACAAUGGGCGCAAGCCUGAUGCAGCGACGCCGCGUGCGGGAUGACGGCCUUCGGGUUGUAAACCGCUUUCAGUACAGAAGAAGCCCUUUUUGGGUGACGGUAUGUGCAGAAGAAGCGCCGGCUAACUACGUGCCAGCAGCCGCGGUAAUACGUAGGGCGCGAGCGUUAUCCGGAAUUAUUGGGCGUAAAGAGCUUGUAGGCGGUUUGUCACGUCUGCUGUGAAAGCCCGGGGCUUAACUCCGGGUGUGCAGUGGGUACGGGCAGGCUAGAGUGCAGUAGGGGAGACUGGAAUUCCUGGUGUAGCGGUGAAAUGCGCAGAUAUCAGGAGGAACACCGAUGGCGAAGGCAGGUCUCUGGGCUGUUACUGACGCUGAGAAGCGAAAGCAUGGGUAGCGAACAGGAUUAGAUACCCUGGUAGUCCAUGCCGUAAACGUUGGGCACUAGGUGUGGGGGACAUUCCACGUUUUCCGCGCCGUAGCUAACGCAUUAAGUGCCCCGCCUGGGGAGUACGGCCGCAAGGCUAAACUCAAAGGAAUUGACGG
rnacentral:rRNA from 1 species